AUUCCAGCUCCAAUAGCGUAUAUUAAAGUUGUUGUGGUUAAAAAGCUCGUAGUUGGAUCUCGGCGGACUGAGGGCGGUUUGCUUGCUAGUAUUACUGCCCUAUAGUCCGUAGUUUUGCCAGAGGUUUCGAGGUGCUCUUAAUCGAGUGUCCCGGGAUGCUGGCAGGUUUACUUUGAAAAAAUUAGAGUGCUCAAAGCAGGCUAUUACGCCUGAAUAUUCGUGCAUGGAAUAAUAGAAUAGGAAGUCGUUUCUAUUUUGUUGGUUUUCGGAAAUCGACUUAAUGAUUAAUAGGGAUAGUCGGGGGCAUUCGUAUUCAAACGACAGAGGUGAAAUUCUUGGACCGUUUGAAGACGAACUAAGGCGAAAGCAUUUGCCAAGAAUGUUUUCAUUG
rnacentral:rRNA from 1 species